GAUGAACGCUAGCGACAGGCCUAACACAUGCAAGUCGAGGGGCAGCACAUGAGUAGCAAUACGAUGGUGGCGACCGGCGCACGGGUGAGUAACGCGUAUGCAACCUACCCAUUACAGGGGAAUAACUCCCGGAAACGGGAACUAAUACCGCAUAAUACUAUUAGACCGCAUGGUUUAAUAGUUAAAGAUUUAUUGGUAAUGGAUGGGCAUGCGUGACAUUAGUUAGUUGGUAGGGUAACGGCCCACCAAGGCAACGAUCAGUAGGGGUUCUGAGAGGAAGGUCCCCCACAUUGGAACUGAGACACGGUCCAAACUCCUACGGGAGGCAGCAGUGAGGAAUAUUGGUCAAUGGGCGGAAGCCUGAACCAGCCAAGUAGCGUGCAGGAUGACGGCCCUAUGGGUUGUAAACUGCUUUUAUACAGGAAUAAAGUUAGCCACGUGUGGUUAUUUGUAGGUACUGUAUGAAUAAGGACCGGCUAAUUCCGUGCCAGCAGCCGCAGUAACAC
rnacentral:rRNA from 1 species